CUUCACCCCUUAAUUCUUUUCUUGGGACUCAGCUUCAAUCUGAAGUGUCCAGAUCCUCAAUCAUUUUCCAG